rnacentral:rRNA from 1 species
CAUGAAGCUGGAAUCGCUAGUAAUCGUAGAUCAGCAUGCUACGGUGAAUACGUUCCCGGGCCUUGUACACACCGCCCGUCACACCACGAGAGUUUGUAACACCCGAAGCCGGUGGAGUAACCUUUUAGGAGCUAGCCGUCGAAGGUGGGACAAAUGAUUGGGGUGAAGUCGUAACAAGGUAGCCGUAUCGGAAGGUGCGGCUGGAUCACCUCCUUUCUAAGGA